rnacentral:misc_RNA from 1 species
UUAAGUUCAGCGGGUAGUCCUACCUGAUUUGAGGUCAGAUGUCAAAGAAAUUGUCCGAAGACGAUUAGAAGCAGAGACUUCAAUAUACCGUACCACAGCAGCGUAGACAAUUAUCACGCCGAAGAGUAGCAGUAACAUCUUUGCUAAUGCAUUUAAGAGGAGCCGACAGACUGCCGGCAUAAACCUCCAAGUCCAACACA